GACGAACGCUGGCGGCGUGCCUAAUACAUGCAAGUAGAACGCACAGUUUAUACCGUAGCUUGCUACACCAUAAACUGUGAGUUGCGAACGGGUGAGUAACGCGUAGGUAACCUGCCUGGUAGCGGGGGAUAACUAUUGGAAACGAUAGCUAAUACCGCAUAAUAUUUAUUAUUGCAUGAUAAUUGAUUGAAAGAUGCUAUUGCAUCACUACUAGAUGGACCUGCGUUGUAUUAGCUAGUAGGUGAGGUAACGGCUCACCUAGGCGACGAUACAUAGCCGACCUGAGAGGGUGAUCGGCCACACUGGGACUGAGACACGGCCCAGACUCCUACGGGAGGCAGCAGUAGGGAAUCUUCGGCAAUGGACGAAAGUCUGACCGAGCAACGCCGCGUGAGUGAAGAAGGUUUUCGGAUCGUAAAGCUCUGUUGUAAGAGAAGAACGGGUGUGAGAGUGGAAAGUUCACACUGUGACGGUAUCUUACCAGAAAGGGACGGCUAACUACGUG
rnacentral:rRNA from 1 species